ACGCCGAUAGUGCAGUGGUUAGCACACGCUUCCGGAAAGGGUGGAAUGCGGGUUCGCAUUCCGUUCGACGUU